UCUGCCACAUAUGUGGCUGGAGCCAUGGGU
rnacentral:piRNA from 1 species